rnacentral:lncRNA from 1 species
UCACCAUAUGUUCCACCAACAACACAAUGCUGCUGCUGAUACCUUUUACAUGUUUUUUUCUUUUUUUAUUGCAGAGUGUUUCAACGUGCCACUUGUGAAUGGCUGAUGUGUUAUCCACAAUGAAGAAACAUCCCAGGCCUGUUUUAUCAGAUUACCUCCUGAGUGUGACGGCGCUGCUAACAUGUGAUUUGGCUCAGCUGUAAUCGGCAGAUGCACUAAUGGAGGCUGAGGUUAUCCAUCACACGUGCUCGUCUGGUCGGACCCGGAGCUCAUACGUCAACGCCAGACUCGGGGAGGGGUUCCCAUCUGUGCCCCUCUCUGCCGGCAUCUCAACGAUGACAAAUGUGCCACCUGCAGUGGAAAUAUUGAG